rnacentral:tRNA from 1 species
GCCUGGCUGGCUCAGCUGGUUAAGCAUCUGACUUCGGCUCAGGUCAUGAUCUCACAGUUGGUGGAUUCGAGCCCCAUGUUGGGCU